AGCCCCGUGGUGUAGUGGUUAGCAUCAGAGACUCUGGAUCUCUGGACAGCAGUUCGAAUCUGCUCGGGGCUA
rnacentral:tRNA from 1 species